rnacentral:lncRNA from 1 species
CCUAUGCAGAGAAAUAUACAUAUUUUUAACAUAGAAUUAGGCAUAAUGUUUAUGGCCCAGGAUUUCAGUAAAAAGCAGUUUCUGGUGUUUGAAAAAUGCAGCCCUCCUCAAGACCAUCCCCCAUCCAGCCUCACAUCCAUCCUCUAAAAUAUUGGGUGCAUGACGCACCUGAGCAUCAGUGCUCCUUGUCAAAACAAACAAUGCAUUAGCUCUAUAAAUGUAACGUGAUGUGAUGCUCCAUAUCCAUUACAGGACCUGGCACACAUUUUUCAACUAACCUUUUCUUGGCGAUACUUUCUUCGUUCUCGAUUCGGAAGAAACUUCCAUUAAAAUAUCAAAUCCACUUUUUUUUGGAGUGAGAAAUGCCUCUUGCAUGUGUGUAGAUCUUCGCUUUGGUCGCACUGUGUGACACACUCAUCUACUUCUACACAUGGCGUCGCAUAGAAGCGACAAGUUCCUGCAAAGAUGUUGGGAAAUGCGAGAUGUGCGGCAGCUAAAAUGGCAGUGCAAAAAGUGGAUUUUUUUUGCAUUUUCUCUGGUUUUUGGAGAACGACCUGCAACUGGACACAGACAUUUAUAAAAGUCAGGUUUCGUCAUCAAGAAUUAAGAAAGUAUCAGCAAGAAAAGGCGGCCCUUGUGUCAUGCUCAAUCCGCCACAGAAGAAGUGGGAGUGGAGCAUGGUUCUCUUAUUCUGCUUGGUAUGAUGAGGAGCUUUCACUGAAGACUGGAGUUCCCCGGUUGUUUUUCCUUCAGUCGCCAGGCAAUGGAAUACCUCUCAGAAGGUUAGUUGUCGUCUUUUCCUGCUUGCUAUGCAUCUUUCUGGGCAUCCUUAGUUUUGUAGCUAUUUACAUUGACUGACAGGGAUAUUACUUUUUAAUUUUUAAAGCUUCUGGGCUCUUUUCACUGCACAGUACAGGUAUUAGACAAUGAGUUAGGUCCAUAAUGUAAUGUAUGGAAUUGAGUUGACGCCUCAAACUCAGAACAGAAUAUAGGCUUCUUCUGUACAAGGUCUAUAGGCUUUAAGUAUCUUCAUGGAAAUGUGAAUGGAGGCAGAUGAAGGCAAGUCAAGGCAAGCCCCCCAGGGCAUGCUAGCCUGCUGUCUCAGGGGCAAGGCACAACAUCACUGCAGCACUAACAAAUGAGUUGUAAUGAUGUAAUUAGCAUCCUUGUUACUAACCGAUGAGAGGAGAAACACAAAUAGUUUAUAGAAGACUCACCUGUGUGAAAGUUGAUGACAUAGCUUCUGUGAUUUUGUAAAGAUAUAAUGACACAUCACUCUAUAAAGACAUCAAGGAAUGUCACAAAUUAAAUUGUAUAUGAAUAAUGUAAAAUGAACAUUCUUAUUGUUUUAGCAGUCUUCUUUG